rnacentral:rRNA from 1 species
GUCCUAGCCGUAAACGAUGGACACUAGGUGUUGGUUCCUUCUGGGACCAGUGCCGCAGGUAACCCGAUAAGUGUCCCACCUGAGGAGUACGGCCGCAAGGUUGAAACUCAAAGGAAUUGACGGGGGCCAGCACAAGCGGUGGAACAUGUGGUUCAAUUCGAUGCUACGCGAAGAACCUUACCCAGGCUUGACAUACAGGGAGUAGGAACCUGAAAGGGGGACGACUCGUAACCAGUCGAGAUCCUGUACAGGUGCUGCAUGGCUGUCGU